UACGAAGGGGGCUAGCGUUGUUCGGAAUUACUGGGCGUAAAGCGUGCGCAGGCGGUUUUGUAAGCCAGAUGUGAAAUCCCCGGGCUUAACCUGGGAAUGGCAUUUGGGACUGCAAGGCUCGAGUGCGGCAGAGGAGACUGGAAUUCCUGGUGUAGCAGUGAAAUGCGUAGAUAUCAGGAGGAACACCGAUGGCGAAGGCAGGUCUCUGGGCUGACACUGACGCUCAUGCACGAAAGCGUGGGGAGCAAACAGG
rnacentral:rRNA from 1 species